AAAGUGGGAUAACUUCUUCUUCCCAACUCCUAUGAGAUUUAUUCAACUUCCGGGUGAUUCUCCACCAUUUUAUGUAUCCAAAUCAAGCUUCUUACAAAGAGAUUCAUCCUGGUUUGAUUGGAACGACGAAGAAGCUGUGGUAUUCCCAAACUGGGAAGCUGGAAUCACGUGAUUUAAAAGUGGGAUAACUUCUUCUUCCCAACUCCUAUGAGAUUAAUUCAACUUCCUGGUGAUUCUCCACCAUUUUAUGUAUCCAAAUCAAGCUUCUUACAAAGAGAUUCAUCCUGGUAUGAUUGAAACGACGAAGAAGCUGUGCUAUUCCCAAACUGGGAAACUGGAAUCACCUGAUUUGAAAGUGGGAUAACUUCAUCAUCCCAACCCCUAUGAGAUUUAUUCAACUUCCUGGUGAUUCUCCACCACUUUAUGUAUCCAAAUCAAGCUUCUCACAAAGUGAUUCAUCCUGGUUUGAUUGGAACGACGAAGAAGCUGUGCUAUUCUCAACCUGGGAAACUGGAAUCACAUGAUUUGAAAGUGGGAUAACUUCUUCUUGCCAACUCCUAUGUGAUUUAUUCAACUACCUGGUGAUUCUCCACCACUUAAUGUAUCAAAAUCAAGCUUCUCACAAAGUGAUUCAUCCUGGUUUGAUUGGAACGACAACGAAGCUGUGCUAUUCCCAAACUGGGAAACUGGAAUCACAUGAUUUGAAAAUGGGAUAACUUCUUCUUCCCAACUCCUAUGAGAUUUAUUCAACUUCCUGGUGAUUCUACACCACUUUAUAUAUUCAAAUCAAGCUUCUUACAAAGAGAUUCAUCUUGGUUUGAUUGGAACGACGAAGAAGAUGUGGUAUUCCCAAACUGGGAAACUGGAAUCACCUGAUUUGAAAGUUGGAUAACUUUUUCUUCCCAACUCCUAUGAGAUUUAUUCAACUUCCUGGUGAUUCUCCACCACUUUAUGUAUCCAAAUCAAGCUUCUCACAAAGAGAUUCAUCCUGGUUUGAUUGGAACGACGAAGAAGCUGUGCUAUUCCCAAACUGAGAAACUGGAAUCACAUGAUUUGAAAGUGGGAUAACUUCUUCUUCCCAACUCCUAUGAGAUUUAUUCAACUUCCUGGUGAUUCU
rnacentral:lncRNA from 1 species